rnacentral:lncRNA from 1 species
ACCAAUCACCACGACAUGUAUAAACUAUAAAACCCAGGCUUCAAAGUUGUACAUGCAUUGACAUUUGAUCCUCCACAGCAACUCCCAUCUUCAGAUCAUAUCUUUAUUCCAACAUAUAAAAAUAAAAUUCUUGUAAAAAGAGAGAAAGAUGGAAAGGAACAACUCGUACGGGAACACAUGGGCGGAUCAGUGGGAGUCGAACCCAGAUGAUCGAAGCCAUUAUACAAGUCUACAAGACAAUAACAAGAGCGCAGGUAGCAGCAAAUACGGCAAAAAACUCGAACAAGGGCUUGGAAAGACUAAGGCUGUGGCUUCUGUUGGUGUCAAGAAAGUUAAACAAGGCUCCUCUCUCACUUUUCAGUGGAUCAAGAACAAGUAUACCAAGACUACCCAGAAACACUAAUUAUUGUAGGAUUCUGUUCCUUGACAACCUCGUGUUAGAUAAGGGUUAUCUAACACACUGUACGGGGGUCGUUAGAUCUAUAUUUCAAAAGCCCAGAUCCAAUCUGAGAUUUUAAUGUAUCCGCUAUAAAAAACCGCGGAUAGGGAAAACUCCCUUCCACGGUAAAUAACCGCGGAUAGGGAGUUUUCCCUUCGGCGGAAAAUAACCACGAAUACAUUAAAAACCCAAAAUUGGAUCUGAGCCCUUGAAAUAUAAAUCCAACGGCCCCCGUACAGUGUGUUAGAUAACUCUUAUUUAACACGCGGUUGUUGUGGAACAGGACCCAUUACUGUAAUCUUUUUUAUCAUUUUUCCAUGCCUAUGAGGAUUUUUGGAUGAAGCAUCUGGGUUUUAUGCAGCUUUGCUUUAUGUUCACGUACGGGCUAUAGUCUUUAUGUCAUGUAAAGAAUUGUUCAUUUCGUUUUGGGAAAUUUCAUUCUUAAAUUUUCCGGCAGCUGUUAUAAUAUAUACUCUCUCUUGUUUUUUGACAUUUUUAUUUUUGACACACACCUUUAUCAGAUAGUAAAAAAUUAUUGUUUUUAAUGAUUUUUUUUGUAAAUAAAAAUUUUGGUUAUGUAUUUUU